UCGACGGUUUCCAUUUUACUAAGCGUAUCGCUAUACAUAAUAUAUUUGUUCGUUAAUUAUUCUUCGAAGAAUCUUCCUUCCGAAUCACUAAUGCCAUCUUACGAUUUCAUAAUCGUAGGCGGUGGUACUGCAGGAAUUGUUAUAGCGAAUCGGUUGUCCGAGAUAGAAGACUGGAACGUACUUCUCUUGGAAGCAGGUGGCGAUGGAAGCAUUAUAUAUGAUAUUCCUGUUACUGCUGCUAAUCUGCAGCU